AUGCAGAACUACGCCAGCUAGUUCAUGGACCUGAAUGUACCGCGGAAAUGCCCCGCCAGCAACCGCAUGAUCGGUACCAAGGACCACGUGCCAUCCAGAUGAACAUGGUCAAGGUUGACAUGGUAACAGGUAGGUUCAAUGGCCAGUUUAAAAUCUACGCUAUCUGUGAGGCCAUUCACAGGAUGGGUGUCAGAUGACUCCAUUCUCUGACUGGCCAAGACUGAGGGCAUCAUCUCAAAGAACUUCUGACUGGAGAGGAUCACAGAUAUGGGGUAUUUGUCAUAAAUAAAUAGUGAAAACC